rnacentral:rRNA from 1 species
GACGAACGCUGGCGGCGUGCUUAACACAUGCAAGUCGAACGUGAUUUUUAUGGAAAUUCUUUCGGGAAUGGAAAUGAAAUGAAAGUGGCGAACGGGUGAGUAACACGUGAGCAACCUACCUUACACAGGGGGAUAGCCGUUGGAAACGACGAUUAAUGCCGCAUGAGACCACAGAAUCGCAUGAUAUAGGGGUCAAAGAUUUAUCGGUGUAAGAAGGGCUCGCGUCUGAUUAGCUAGUUGGAAGGGUAAAGGCCUACCAAGGCGACGAUCAGUAGCCGGUCUGAGAGGAUGAACGGCCACAUUGGAACUGAGACACGGUCCAAACUCCUACGGGAGGCAGCAGUGGGGAAUAUUGCACAAUGGGGGGAACCCUGAUGCAGCGACGCCGCGUGAGCGAAGAAGGUUUUCGAAUCGUAAAGCUCUGUCCUAUGAGAAGAUAAUG